UACGUAGGGGGCUAGCGUUGUCCGGAAUCAUUGGGCGUAAAGAGCGUGUAGGCGGCCUGGUAGGUCUGCUGUGAAAACUCGAGGCUCAACCUCGAGAUGUCGGCGGAAACCAUCUGGCUAGAGUCCGGAAGAGGAGAGUGGAAUUCCUGGUGUAGCGGUGAAAUGCGCAGAUAUCAGGAAGAACACCUAUGGCGAAGGCAGCUCUCUGGGACGGUACUGACGCUGAGACGCGAAAGCGUGGGGAGCGAACAGG
rnacentral:rRNA from 1 species